GCCUCUGUAGCUCAGCUGGUUAGAGCGCUUGUUUCGUAAACAAGAGGUCGGGGGUUCGAAUCCCUCCAGAGGCU
rnacentral:tRNA from 1 species